AUGAAUGGGGCGCACGGAGCCGGGUCCCGUGUGGGAGCGGGCAGCCCCCGCCCGGCGCUGUUUACAUCGCGGAUCCCCCGAGGGGGGAUUCCCCCUCCCCGCCGCCCGCUCCGUAUCGAUCUCACAGGGAGCAGCCCAGCUGCUGCAAUGCAACACGCGCCGGGAAGGGGCAGAGAGAGAAAGAGGGGGGUGGGAGGGAGGGAAGAAAAAAAAAAAAAAAAGAACGAAGAAAAAGAACGGAGCAAGAAAGGCGGCGGGCCGCCGUGCGGGCACACCUCCGCCGCGGGAAGGGGCUCCGGCCGCACCCCGCCCGGCCCCGCCGCCGCCCCCAGGCCCCUCAACUUCGCCGCCGCGGGGGCCGGGGCCGCCCCUCCCCCUCCGCCGCCGCUAACAAUGGGCCCCUCCCCCGCGGGGCUCCCCUCGGCCCGCCGCCCUCCCCCCGCCCCAGCCCCCCGCCCCGGCCCCGCGCCGGCCGCUUCGGAGGGGGCCCCGCCGCCCCCCCGCCCGGCCCCGGCCCCCCCACCUCAUGGUGCCGCCCGGCGCCGGGAGCCGCUCCCGCUGCCUCGUUCAGCUCCGCGCUCUCCGCCGCCCCGCCGCGCUCUCUCCUCGCCGCUCCGCGCCGCUCCGCUCGCCGCCGCUCCCUCCGCGGGGGCCGGCGCCUCAACGGACAGCGAGAGCUCCGGCAGCCGGCGCCUCCCGCCCGCCCGUCUCCGCCGCUCCCUCCGCCGCCGGGCCGGGCCAGACCACCGCGGGGCGCCGGGGGUGGGAGGGGACGGAGAGGUGGGGGAAAGGGGCGGAGAGGAGCGAACCAACGCGCGGGAAGGGCGGGGGGAGGAGGGGAGGAGGGCGGGAGCGCGGGGGAGGCCGGAGACACCGGCGGGGCCGCGGGAGGGCGGGGCGAGGGCGGGCACGCCCACCACGGUGAGGGGCGCCGGCACCGGGGGCCGUGCGCCUCCUAUCGCCGGGGGGCGCGGGGAGUGCGCCCAGGUGAGGUGCUGGGGGCCUCGUCCUGAGGCUGGACCUGCGCCGCCCGUGGCCUGCGCGCACGGCACCGACGUGCCCCGGGCCCGGCACUGCCGCCGGGAGGGGAGAAGAGAGGAGAGGGGACGGGAGGACUCGUCCCGCUCUGCUCCGCGCUGUGCUGCCUCACCUCCUGCACUGGGUGCAGGCUGCGUGCCACGACGUAAAACAGACACCGUUGUGUUACAGGGCAUCCAAAAGAGGGCAACAAAGAUGGGGAAGGGUGUGAAGGCAACGUGUGUGAGGCCCCUGGGUUUGUUGUGCCCAGAGCAGAGGAGCUGA
rnacentral:lncRNA from 1 species